AGUUACUUCUUCACAUUUCAUCACCUGGUUGGUGAGAAUAAUGGCAAGGUGUCGAGGCACAUUGUAGCAAGUGUUGAAGACACAAAGUAUGUUGAACCCUUUCGAAGCAUAGUUGGCUUAUGUAUGGAUUUGUUGGAAUGUAUGAUAUUUAUGUUGAUUGAUAUGAGUGAUGCUUAUGAAUGUUUUGCUAUGUAUGAAGGGAUCCAUGCUUUUGAUAUGUGAACCAUGUUGGUUGUAACACUUAGUAUCACGUACUUUGUGUCAAAGUACGCAUGUUGAAGCUCUGAGUUGGAGUAUAAGGGUAAGUCAGCGUAGACUAAGUGUUCCAGUGCUAGGAACACAAAAGACUUAAAAGAAGUUGUCUGAAUUCCCUCUUCUUUAAAUAUUUGCCGAAUGGCUUAUGUGACAAAAGAUCUCAAGCGGUUGAGAGUCAAAACAUUUGUAAUGUGUAUGCCUUCUUAUAAUAACAUUUCCUUCAGUACCUAGUCCUUCAAUUUGAAAGAGUGAGGCUUGGCCCCAUAGUCAUAAUAGUCGACGGUACGUUCACCCCUGGUUGUCUUGAUAUGAACUUUUAUCCCUCUUGUUGUAAUGGGUUUGCUGAGAGUAAAAAUCUUUCCUCUUACCAAGAGACAGAUACGUUUGGUGACUUAGCGAGUAGCUAAAUGAGGCAAGAGAUGAUGCAAUGGGUGUUGAGCAAAAAUUGUACACAAUAUGUAAACAAAUAAUUCACUUGACACAAUUUCACCCUUGUUCAUUCGUUUGAGGAGGGUUUUCUUAAUUCGAGUUCGACCCAUUCUAGGCUACGCGCCUAUUAAUUACAACCUUUCUUUUAAGA
rnacentral:lncRNA from 1 species